rnacentral:rRNA from 1 species
GACGAACGCUGGCGGCGUGCCUAAUACAUGCAAGUCGAACGGUUUAGUUCCAAGAGGCUUGCCUUUUGGAACUAGACAGUGGCGGACGGGUGAGUAACACGUAGGCAACCUACCUGUCAAACCGGGAUAACCUCGGGAAACCGAAGCUAAACCCGGAUAAGCUCCUUUUUCGCAUGAAGGGGGAGUGAAAAGGUGCGACCUGAUGACAGAUGGGCCUGCGGCGCAUUAGCUAGUAGGUAGGGUAACGGCCUACCUAGGCGAUGAUGCGUAGCCGACCUGAGAGGGCGUACGGCCACACUGGGACUGAGAUACGGCCCAGACUCCUACGGGAGGCAGCAGUAGGGAAUCUUCGGCAAUGGGCGAAAGCCUGACCGAGCAACGCCGCGUGAGUGAGGAAGGCCUUCGGGUUGUAAAACUCUGUUGUUUGGGAAGAAGGGAAAGGGUAGGAUCCUUUGGUGACGGUACCAAACGAGAAAGCCCCGGCUAACUACGUG